UCCUAUCAUAAAAGUUUAGAAAACUGGGCCGGGCAUGGUGGCUCAUGCCUAUAAUCCCAGCACUUUGAUCCAGACUGGGAUUUGAUCCACCUUUGGGAGGCCAAGGUGGGUAGAUCACAAGGUCAGGAGAUCAAGAACAUCUUGGCCAACAUGGUGAAACCCUGUUACUAAAAAUACAAAAAUUAGGUGGGGAACACAUGCCUGUAGUCUCAGCUAUUCCGGAGGCUGAGACCGGAGAAUCGCUUGAACCUGGGAGGCAGAGGUUAGUGAGCUGAGAUUGCACCACUACACUCCAGCCUGGGUGAAAAGAGCGAAACUCUAUCUCAAAAAAAGGAAAAAAGUUUAGAUAACUGUUUAAAUCUGUAAUAGAACUUUGCUGUAUCCGAAUUAUCAGGGAAUAUGCCAACAGAGUGGUUUGAAAGAGUAGCAUUUUAAAAGGUACUUGUUUUGGUAAAUUGAUGUUCAGUUUUUUCCUUUAGAAGGGAGAACACCAAUAUUAGAGGUAAAUGACAGAGAAUUCCAGUUUUGUGACCCACUUGGACCUGGUAGAUGGUAGGCCCAGGAAAGGAUGAAGCAGCCACACUAACUGGAGCUUAGAAUUGAGCCUUUUGUAAUCUGAGGACAUGAGUGAGGGAAAGAAACACACAAAGAGGUUGUUAUUUCAAUCUGUUUCUGAGAGGGUUAUUUUAUAUAUGAUUUUUAUCUGGAAAAAAAACUUUUCAAAAGCCAUUUACUAAAUUAAGCCCCUCAAGAUCUCCAACCAUUAUUAUCCAUAGACAAAACACCAGAAACUCUUAAAAAUUUAGCAGUUCCUCUAGAUAGGCAAAAGCAAAUACAGUCAUCCCUUGAUAUCCAUGGGGAAUAUGUUCCAGGACCUCUUGAAAAUAUCAAAAUCUGGGGAUGCUUGGUAUUUGCAUAUAACCUGCAUAUUAUCUCUAGAUUACUUAUGGUAUCUAAUACCACAUAAAUACUUAUACUAUAUUGGGGUUUUGUUUUUUUAAUUGUAUUUGUUUAUUUUUUAAUAUUUUCCAUCCUCAGUUGAACCCAUCAGUGAGGAGCCUUCAGAUACGGCUGUAAUUUCACCUUUAGCAUUGACAUAAUGGAGCAGCUGAAGUGGCCCCUACUAGUGUUUCAGAAAUCUGCCUCUGCUCACACUCAGAACCAACUUCAAUGGAAACACCACUGCCUGUGCACUGAGAUACCUGGUUCUAAAUUCCAGACCAGCACUUAUGCUGACUUUAGGCAAUUUACCUAACGUGGUUCCUGUCCUACCUGCCUUAUCAGUGGUCAAAUCCCCACGGUCAACAUGCUCAGCAGGAGUAUGAAGCCUGACAGCAUAGAGAAGAUUAAGGUAUUCUUCAAAUCUUCGUGAUGGGUACAGCAGCAGCUCUGGCAGACUAUACAAGGCAUAGAGAAGAGAACUCUGGUCUCUGAAGGCCCAGGAAUACCCUGUCUGGGGGAGGGGCGGGGGAGACCUACUCUGCUCUUCCUCAGAACAUACCUCAGCAUUUUUGUAGCAAUGGUCUUAUCAUGCCUCUUCAGGAAAGUUCGGAAGGCUGGUAUCAUUUCUCUGCACUAAAAGGUGAGGAUUAUAUUGUCAAAACUUUAUGAUAGAGUUGUAAAGUCCACUGUUUGACUGAGCAAGUGUGAUCUAUGAAAUUCAUGAAGCAAAAGGGCAGCAUCUAUGUCUAACCAGUUAAACUAUUAUUAGUGCCAUUGGUGUCUUCCUAAUAAGAAUGUGUGUUAAUUAUGCAUAGACCUGACCCUAUCCAUUGAACUUAAUCAGCAUAGACAAAUAAGAAUGUACUUUACAAACAGGUGGCCCUGGAUUUGAAUUAGAAUACAUUGAGUAUAUAACCUUGUCAAAUUACUUAACUUUUCUGAGCCUCAGCUUUCUCUUCUGUAACAUGAAUACCAUCUCUAAUGCUUGUGGUGUGGGGAAAAAAAAUCCUACCCAUAAAGUGCCUGUCACACAAUAAAUGUUAUUUCAGUGUAGUAAGAUCUUAA